rnacentral:tRNA from 2 species
GGUGGCAUGGCCGAGUGGUUAGGCAGCGGUCUGCAAAACCGCGUACCCCAGUUCGAACCUGGGUGCCACCU